AAUGAAUUGUUCUUUUACAAAGCGCAUCACCAAACUUGAUUUCCCCAAGAAGCACCUAAAGAAGAACAUCAAACAUCACUGUGGUGAUCAUGACAUGCAAUACCCAAAGAAAAAUAAUUUAAGAAAAAAUAAACCUAUUCAUCACACAAUGCUAAAAUACAUAUGCCUACAUAUCCAUAAUUUCUAUGUUUACGGAACACCUUUCGAUAAGUCACAACCUUCAUUUUAAAAUGGACUUUUGUAUUUGUAUUUUGCUUGUGAGUAUGGUCUUGGUUAAAACUUCGCAUUCUAGCAUUUACUUAUAUGAUAUCAUAUAGCAAGAAAGCUAUGAGACCCAAGUCACAAUUUAUUGUAUUCUCAUAGACCCUCAAAAUACUAGAGCUAGACAAAGAUAAACAACACGAUAGAGAAACUUCUGCUUUACAUGUACAUUGACAUUUGCAUGUGCAAAGCUCUCUUUCCUCCUUUCCUUUCUUUUCUUCCUCACCUUUCGAAUCUUUCUCCUAGAUUAAGGAGAUUGUUGUUUUGUUGUUAGUGGUUGCCAUCAUCAUCACAUUGAAAUCAACUUUAGUUAAUACUAGCCUCCUGCACGCGCUCACGGGCGUGCGGAAGGCCCUUUUGUAAUUAAGGCAUUCUACGUGCGACUUAAAUAAUUUAAAUGAUAACAAAAGAGCGGUUGCUCUCUGAUCUAAUUGCAGACACAAUCUGCAGAACCGUCUUCUAUGGGAUUUGAACUUGUGAAGUGUGAGGUGGAGACCUGAAUGUAACAAAUUGGUGUUAAGUGAAUAAUUCCAAACAUAUAAAAUUUAGAUCAUCACACCGAACGCAAACAGAACAAUUAAAUAAACAACUGAAGGCAUACGCAAUCUAAUUAGACAAAUAAGUGAACUUUCCCAUGCCGAAAUCUGAAAGGCCAACAGAAAUAUCUCAUUACAGCACAGAAGACAAAACUUAGGACAAAACUUAAAACUAAUCAAACUUAGGUGAACCAAUUAUAGAGAACAUAACCCUUGUAACCAAUCGGGAAAAGAUGCUUUUAAAUCCCAGAAAAAAAAAUUAAGAGGAGUUUUUUAAAAAACCAUCAUUUCAAUUAUUUUCCAGUCUUACAUUUGGAUUAAACAGAAAAUAUAAGUAAAAAUGCCAACUUUCUAAAAAAACUACAACUAUUUUUACAAAUUUCCAUUACCCAAUGCUGAAAAAUGAGAAUCACGAAGCAAUGAAGAACGGAACACGCGAGAACCAAAAAGUUAAAAACAACACGUAACCAUUUCAAAGACCCAAAAUCCUGCAAGGACAAAAAAAUCCCAUAAAAUCAGUACAUCAGCACUCCCUGCAAAACCCCAAAAUCAGAAAAUUAUAAAAAGAACCCAAAAUCAGUGGCAUGGUCCUCGUUUCUCCAUCAUUCAGUAGCUAAUGACCUAAUGGAAAAGAACCCAAAACAUACAGCUUAAAAUAUGGAAAGUGCUUAUAAAAGCUCAUGAAUAACGUUCAAAGCCUGCAUAGAAAUGGUAUAGCGCAGAUAACAACAAACAAUAAAACUAUGCACAGUAUAACCUAAAUCCGAUAUGUUGCAUUCCCCACACACAGAUUGUUCAAAAUUAAUUUCGUCUCCGUCUUUUUUCAAAUCUGAUAAAAUCCCCAAAACACAAAAAAUAGCAGCUAACUAUUUUUUGAACUCUGUAAACAACGAUAUGCAUCUUAACCCAUUUAACAUAUUCAUAAAAUAACAUCAAACACAUUUAUGCAUGAGAUAAUAUAGAAGUGAAGUCUCACAACUUUCAUAAAAAAUUAUUACUUUGUUAGAGAAAGGCUUGAAAAAAUAUGUAAAUUACUCACCUCUAUUACAAAAAUGUUACAACAGUAGACAAAAAAGGCCAAAAAUACCAAAAGCCGCACCUCCUGAAAUAAAAAACAUAACCAAACGACACAUUCUCAGUAUCUAAACGAUAUCCAGAAAAAAAGAAAUGAACAGACGAAACCCAUGUAAAUAUACAGAACAAACCAAAAAAAAAAAAAAGAACUGAAGCCAGUAAGAAGAUCACAAAUCUGAUAAAGCAAAAGGUAACAUAAUCUAUAUCGAUUUAAUUAUCCAUCCAAAA
rnacentral:lncRNA from 1 species